UUUGUUGAAACGCAUGUGGAGGUGUCUUUGUUUGUUAACUUUUAGAAAGUAUUCUCGCACCGUAUAAAUACAUCUCAUUUUUCUCUGUUUCGUCAGUAGUUGUUUUUGGUAUUAUUCGUGCAACGUGGAAGCUAACUUAGUGGUUUGGUGUUCGUGCCAAAAAGCAGUCUUAAAGAUCAUCUUAGUACUCUCAACCCGUAACCGCAACUAGAAUAGCAGCAAUCUUAAGCAUGGACUUAAGUCAACUGAAUCAAACCUGUCUUGCAGAAGGUGAUUUUGAGCAGCCGAUUGCUGCCGGUGCUGCAAAACACUUGUUGACAACGGCCUAUGGUGAAUCUACUUUGACCAAAAAAAAAGUUUAUAAGUGGUACAAGAUGUUCCAAGAUGGCCGAGAAGAGCGUUGAAGAAGAAGAAAAGCGUUGCACUUUUUUCCGAAGUUUUGGGCAUGAAACUUGUAGCAGCAAAAUUUGUUCCGAAACUGCUUAAUUUUGAACAAAAGGACUGUCGAAAGAGCUGUUAAACGACGUGAAUUCGCCACUACAUUCACCACGCCCCUGCGACUUUUUUCUGUUCCCAAAACUCAAGAAACCCAUGAAAGGAAGCAGGAUUGGAACGAUUGAGGAGCUAAAUAAAAAAUCGCUAGAAGAACUCAAGGCUAUACCAGAAGCUUCUUCGAAGAUUGGAAAAAACGUUGGCUGGGAGGAUUACUUUGAAGGGGACAAAUAAUAUUAAUUAUGAUAAAUAAAUAUUUUUUGAUAAAACUUUAAAGUCACCUUACUUCUUGAACACGCCUCAUAGAUAUAAUUUCUCCCAGAAAUAAAUGCAUUAUGGUAAAUUUUUGAACGGUUUUAUUUUAAAAGUUAUUAAUUCCAGAAAUGGGGUAUGUUAUAAAAAAGUUGUUCUAUUUAAAAUAACAAAGUUGAGGUUACAUCCCGAGUUUUCAUGCUCCAAAUGUUCAAAAUCUUCAACCCUAUUAACUUACCAAAUUGUAUAUUUUUAUCUGAAGCCAUUUUAAAAUGCUGCUGUGGACAGUAGUUUCAUUGCCAUUGUAAUAUUUGUUAUACUUAUUAAAAACGCUGUAGAUCACAUUGAAGUUUUACAAAACCUAUGGAAGUCUUCACAACUUUGUAAUUUAUAUGUUUGGAAAAGUGAAAAUAAUCAAUUGUGUCGAUUUUUCUCUCUUCUGAGAUCGAUUAAAUUAAAUCCAAUUCCAAAAAUGUAUAGAUGACAAAUUGUGACAGCAAAA